UUAGGCAGUGAGAGAGAGAGAGAUGGAAAGAAAGGUCUUCCCUCCGUUGGUUCAGCCCCCCAAAUGGCUGCUACGGCCGGCACACUGCGCUGAUCCGAAGCCAGGAGCCAGGUGCUUCUCCUGGUCUCCUAGGAGAAGGGUGCAGGGCCCAAGGCCCUGGGCAUUGCUCCACUGCUGUCCUGGGCCACAGCAGAGAGCUGGACUGGAAGAGGAGCAACCAGGACAGAACUGGUGCCCCAACUGGGACUAGAACCCAGAGUGCCGGCGCUGCCCUCUUUCCAUCUUGCCCAACCCUUACAGCCAAACUCCACAGCUGCACUCUCAAGAGAUUGGAAAUGGAGCUAAGGAAAAGGUAACUUUUGUCGCCUGUGUGAGAGAGAGAGCUGUAUGUGAAAGCUGUAUCAUCUUCCUGCUCAGAGACUGUAGGAGAGCAACCAUCUUCCUUCCACACAUGGUGGGAGGCACUUUGCUCCCCGGAGUAAGUUGAAUUAGGACAAGCAAACAAGACGUGAGAGAGGUAAGGAGAAGCGCACAGUCUUGAAGAGAAGGCGACCCUCCGGAGCCACCCUGUGGCUCACUGAGCAAGGUCACCCUUGGGGGCACUCCCCCAGCUGUGGGGAGUCUGGUUCUGGAUUACUCCUGCACUCCUGUUCCCGAUCCGGGGCUUGCGCCUGGUUGAUGAUGCUCACCCAGAUCACUGAAGCCCACAGAGGAAUUCCGGCCCUGCCCCUUACCAGGUGUGUGAAUCGGGCAAGUCACUCAGGACAAUGGAACCUCCUUUCCCUCCCAGUGCAGUAAUAAUCCUUGGGGGAGAGGUGGCUGGCAGGAAGCUGUUGCUUGCUGUUUUGCCAUGUUCAUUUACUCUUACCUUCCCCUUAUCUUCAUUUCUGGGCAAUGAAAAAUGCUUAUUUUAUCCUUCUGAUUUCUUUCAUGCAGCCACAAGUCUUGGAGGGCAAAGAUGGAUCUGGCUCAAGCAUUCAACCGUUUGCCUCGCACUAGACUGAUCUCCAUCACUCCAUCAUGGCUGUCUGCCUCACCUGUCCCCAUGGGACUCAUGCCUUCCUGCCCCUUCCACCUCUCCAGAGAAGAGAGGGAGUUACAGAGAGGUCUUCCAAAGGUGGUUCACUCUCCAGAUGGCUGCAAUGGCCAGGGCUAGGCCUGGCUGAAGUCAGAAGCCAAGAGGUUUAUCUGGAUCUCCCACAUGGGUACAGGAGCCCAAGUACUUGGGCCCUCUUCUGCUGCUUUUCCCAGGCAUGUUAACAGGGAGCUGGAUUGGAAGUGGAGCUGGAACUUGAACCGGCGCCGAUAUGGGAUGCCAGUGUCACAAGUGGUGGCUUUACCCACUAUGCCACGAUGCUGGAACCUCAUCCUUCUUUCUGUAGAAAAAUAUAACCAAGUUCAUAGAAGAGGAAAGAUGGCCACUGUUAAUAUUUUUCAAUUCAUCCAGACCUUUCCCUUGCUGUGUGGAUGUGGAUUUUUUCAUGAGAUCACAGUGUACAGUUUCUAAACUGCUUAAAAAACCACCCGGAUGUAUAAUCAAAAAUUGUUCCACAUGUGGACUGCAAUUUCAGCUCCUGCUUGAGCCUUCAGUCUUCCCUAUGGGUUUUGGGCUUUCCUAUUCAACCCCUACAAUUGCAUACGCCAUUUUCCCCCAAUAAAUCCCUUUAUA